UACGAAGGGGGCUAGCGUUGCUCGGAAUUACUGGGCGUAAAGGGAGCGUAGGCGGACAUUUAAGUCAGGGGUGAAAUCCCGAGGCUCAACCUCGGAACUGCCUUUGAUACUGGGUGUCUUGAGUGUGAGAGAGGUGAGUGGAACUCCGAGUGUAGAGGUGAAAUUCGUAGAUAUUCGGAAGAACACCAGUGGCGAAGGCGACUCACUGGCUCAUUACUGACGCUGAGGCC
rnacentral:rRNA from 1 species